rnacentral:rRNA from 1 species
UACGGAGGGUGCAAGCGUUGUCCGGAAUCACUGGGCGUAAAGGGCGCGUAGGCGGCUUGAUAAGUCACUUGUGAAAUCCCGUUGCUCAACGACGGGGCCGCAGGUGAGACUGUCUGGCUGGAGCUUGGUAGGGGCGAGUGGAAUUCCCGGUGUAGCGGUGGAAUGCGUAGAUAUCAGGAGGAACACCUGUGGUGUAGACAGCUUACUGGACCACUUCUGACGCUGAGGCACGAAAGCGUGGGUAGCAAACAGG